UACGGAGGGGGCGAGCGUUAUUCGGAAUUAUUGGGCGUAAAGGGCGCGUAGGCGGCUGUACAAGUCAAAGGUGAAAUCCCUCGGCUCAACUGGAGGACUGCCUUUGAAACUGUACGGCUUGAGGCCGGGAGGGGGUAGCGGAAUUCCCAGUGUAGCGGUGAAAUGCGUAGAUACUGGGAGGAACACCAGUGGCGAAGGCGGCUACCUGGACCGGUUCUGACGCUGAGGCGCGAAAGCGUGGGUAGCAAACAGG
rnacentral:rRNA from 1 species